UACGUAGGGUCCGAGCGUUGUCCGGAAUUAUUGGGCGUAAAGAGCUCGUAGGCGGCUUGUCGCGUCGGAUGUGAAAGCCCGGGGCUUAACUCCGGGUCUGCAUUCGAUACGGGCAGGCUAGAGUGUGGUAGGGGAGAUCGGAAUUCCUGGUGUAGCGGUGAAAUGCGCAGAUAUCAGGAGGAACACCGGUGGCGAAGGCGGAUCUCUGGGCCAUUACUGACGCUGAGGAGCGAAAGCGUGGGGAGCGAACAGG
rnacentral:rRNA from 1 species